AGAGUGAACGCUGGCCGGCGUGCUUAACACAUGCAAGUCGAACGAGAACGGAUUAUAGCUUGCUAUGAUUGUCAGCUAAGUGGCGCACGGGUGAGUAAUAUAUAGGUAACAUGCCCCAAAGAAGAGGAUAACGUUUGGAAACGAACGCUAAUACUCUAUAUGCCUUUAAGUCAUAAGACUGCAAGGGAAAUAUUUAUAGCUUUGGGAUUGGCCUGUACGGUAUCAGCUAGUUGGUGAGGUAAGAGCUCACCAAGGCAAUGACACCUAACUGGUUUGAGAGGAUGAUCAGUCACACUGGAACUGAGACACGGUCCAGACUCCUACGGGAGGCAGCAGUGGGGAAUAUUGCACAAUGGACGAAGGUCUGAUGCAGCAACGCCGCGUGGAGGAUGACACAUUUCGGUGCGUAAACUCCUUUUAUAUCUGAAGAUAAUGACGGUAGGAUAUGAAUAAGCACCGGCUAACUCCGUGCCAGCAGCCGCGGUAAUACGGAGGGUGCAAGCGUUACUCGGAAUCACUGGGCGUAAAGAGCAUGUAGGCGGGUAAUUAAGUCAGAAGUGAAAUCCAAUAGCUCAACUAUUGAACUGCUUUUGAAACUGGUUACCUAGAAUAUGGGAGAGGUAGAUGGAAUUUCUGGUGUAGGGGUAAAAUCCGUAGAGAUCAGAAGGAAUACCGAUUGCGAAGGCGAUCUACUGGAACAUUAUUGACGCUGAGAUGCGAAAGCGUGGGGAGCAAACAGGAUUAGAUACCCUGGUAGUCCACGCCCUAAACGAUGCACACUAGUUGUUGCUAUGCUAGACAUAGCAGUAAUGCAGUUAACACAUUAAGUGUGCCGCCUGGGGAGUACGGUCGCAAGAUUA
rnacentral:rRNA from 1 species